rnacentral:rRNA from 3 species
AGGAUUUUCUUAGUAGCGGCGAGCGAAAAGAAAUCAGUUCAGCACUAAGUCACUUUGUCUUUAUGGCAAAUGUGAGAUGCAGUGUAUGGAAUGUCAAAUUUCUAGUAUGAGAAAUUAACGAUUUAAGUCCUUCUUAAAUGAGGCCAUUUACCCAUAGAGGGUGCCAGGCCCGUAUAACGUUAAUGAUUACUAGAUGGCAUUUCCAAAGAGUCGUGUUGCUUGAUAGUGCAGCACUAAGUGGGUGGUAAACUCCAUCUAAAACUAAAUAUAACCAUGAGACCGAUAGUAAACAAGUACCGUGAGGGAAAGUUGAAAAGAACUCUGAAUAGAGAGUUAAAUAGUACGUGAAACUGCUUAGAGGUUAAGCCCGAUGAACCUGAAUAUCCAUUAUAGAAAAUUCAUCAUUAUGAUUUUAAUAUUAAUAAUAUUAUAAUAAUGGUGUGCAUUUUUUCUAUAACGGACAUUGUAAUCUAUUAACAUAAAUAUAUUUAUCAUAAGAUCAAUGAUGCGUAAGUUUAUUCAAAUUAUUUUGCUUGCAAUUUAACAUAGAAUAAAUGCUCUUGAUUUGAUAAAGUGUUGAUAGAUUUAUUGUAUAUAGUGCUUAAAUAUUUAUAUUUUAUAAUAGCAUAUUAAUCAUUGAUUUUUAUGUUUAUUAUAUGCACUUAUAUGAUUAACAAUGCGAAAGAUUCAGGAUACCUUCGGGACCCGUCUUGAAACACGG